GCAUAUCAAUAAGCGCAGGAAAAGAAACCAACAGGGAUUGCCUCAGUAACGGCGAGUGAAGCGGCAACAGCUCAAAUUUGAAAUCUGGCCUCUCGGGGUCCGAGUUGUAAUUUGUAGAGGAUGUUUCGGGUACCGCCUCGGUUUAAAUUUCUUGGAACAGAAUGUCAAAGAGGGUGAGAAUCCCGUCUUGGACCGGCGGUAGGGCCUAUGUGAAACUCCUUCGACGAGUCGAGUUGUUUGGGAAUGCAGCUCAAAAUGGGUGGUAAAUUUCAUCUAAAGCUAAAUAUUGGCCAGAGACCGAUAGCGCACAAGUAGAGUGAUCGAAAGAUGAAAAGCACUUUGAAAAGAGAGUUAAACAGUAUGUGAAAUUGUUGAAAGGGAAGCGCUUGCAACCAGACUUGAGCGCGGCGGUUCCCCCUUGCUUCUGCUUGGGUUACUCCGCCGUGUCCAGGCCAACAUCGGUUCUGGGGGUCGGUCAAAGGCCUUGGGAAUGUAUCUACCCACGGGUAGACUUAUAGACCAGGGUGUCAUGCGACCUCCCGGGACCGAGGAACGCGCUUCGGCUCGGAUGUUGGCGUAAUGGUUGUCAGCGACCCGUCUUGAAACACGGACCAAGGAGUCUAACAUCUAUGCGAGUGUUUGGGUGUCAAACCCGGAACGCGGAAUGAAAGUGAACGGAGGUAGGAAGCUUCGGCUGCACUAUCGACCGAUCCUGAAGUUUACGGAUGGAUUUGAGUAAGAGCAUAGCUGUUGGGACCCGAAAGAUGGUGAACUAUGCCUGAAUAGGGUGAAGCCAGAGGAAACUCUGGUGGAGGCUCGCAGCGGUUCUGACGUGCAAAUCGAUCGUCAAAUUUAGGUAUAGGGGCGAAAGACUAAUCGAACCAUCUGGUAGCUUG
rnacentral:rRNA from 1 species